rnacentral:rRNA from 1 species
AUACGGAGGAUGCGAGCGUUGUUCGGAAUUACUGGGCGUAAAGGGCGCGUAGGCUGUUUAUCAAGUCGGGUGUGAAAGUCCACGGCUCAACCGUGGAAGUGCAUCCGAAACUGAUAGACUUGAGUACUGGAGAGGAAAGUGGAAUUCCUGGUGUAGAGGUGAAAUUCGUAGAGAUCAGGAGGAACACCGGUGGCGAAGGCGACUUUCUGGACAGAUACUGACGCUGAGGCGCGAAAGCGUGGGGAGCAAACAGGAUUAGAAACCCCGGUAGUCC